AAGUUUAGUGAAAAAGUAAGUAAAAGUUCAGUCAGGAAAAAAGUUAGAAAACGUGAAGUUAGCUGGCGUGUGAAUGAUUGGCCAUAUCGUAGUAUAUUU